rnacentral:rRNA from 1 species
UCUCAGUUCGGAUCGGAGUCUGCAACCCGACUCCGUGAAGCUGGAUUCGCUAGUAAUCGCGCAUCAGCCAUGGCGCGGUGAAUACGUUCCCGGGUCUUGUACACACCGCCCGUCACACCAUGGGAGUCGGAAAUGCCCGAAGCCGGUGACUCAACCUUUAAGGAGAGAGCCGUCGAAGGCAGGUCUGAUAACUGGGGUGAAGUCGUAACAAGGUAAC